rnacentral:lncRNA from 1 species
UUUCUAGAGGUUCACUACAGGAUUAAGCUCCAGUUGCCCACAGUGCUAGGUGGCUUAAACCCACACCCUUUCCUGGAUGACUUUCCUUCAUUGAAUCACUUCCCUGUGCCUCUACAGGUAGUCUCCAUGUUGAACUCCUUUUCUCAGGACCGACCUGCUUUUGGGGAACCCAAAUAAAGACAAGGAAGCUACUGGAAGAUAUCCUUCAGCAACAUGAGAGAGAAAGAGGAAGACAUGGAUUUCAGAAAGCAAAGACGGUAAAACAUGAGAACAAUGAAGGGAAAUCCAUGUUGACAGCUAUGCCACAGCCUAGAAAGCAACUAGUCCAAAUGGAAACAAGAGGAAAGAUGGCUUCAGGAGGGACAUCUCAAGGCUAAUUUGAUGGUAUUUCAGGGAGCCGAUAUUCAACAGUCUUGGAGGUUCCAUCAAGACACAGUAGACAUCUGCUCUCCACAGUGACUUAACCCUCCACAAGGAAACAGCGCUCCUCAAAGGCUCCUUGAGCCUCUUCCUCUAAAGUCUCCAUGACAAGAGUGUUGCUCUAAGUCCGCAUUGGGUUUAAGCUUCAAUUGUUUUUAAUUUCCCCAAAUGCACACCUACGCAAUAAGCCACCAAAAGACUUUCGGAAAUAGAUGUUGAAACUGAUACCUUCUUCACGUGAAACGCCGCGGAGACACUCCCCCGAAACCCUCUUGGCUGCUCCAUCGGUAACACUUUCUUGUGUUGUUGGAUAUAGAGCCAACUGACUACUCUUUCAUCUCAUCUAGAGAUACUGGUUGCCUGUGGUGGCCUGGUGGAUUCAUUACAUCUGUUGAUCAUCUGGAUUCAGAGCCUUUAAUUUGACCUUCACAUAAGAAACGUGAAGACUCCCGAAUCCUAAAAUUCUUCUGUGCAGUCGCUCCAGUCUGUAAAACCUGGUGAAGCAUUAUUAGAAGACAAAAAAUCGGUCAAGCUAUGCUACAAAGCCAAAUUGAGUCCUUUAAUGAAUUCAACUUUUAACAAUAUAAUUUAGUUUAAAUAAUAGUAUAUUUAUAGUUACAAUCAAUUUAAAAAACAUUUUCUCGUUUUUCUCCUUUAAAACAUUUUGUUUCAUUCCUGUGAUAAAAAGAAUUGAUUUUUGUUCUUCUACUACAUAAAUUUGCAGAAAAGUGUGGUGUUUUUCUGUUUUGCUUUUACAGCCCUCAGCAAAUUUUGGUAUAAGAGCAGUCAGUGGUGUUUCACAGUCUCUGUGGCAAAUAGUUCACUUUUCCAUGGGUCACACGAAAGUUUAUUCAAGGAAGAUUCAG